rnacentral:rRNA from 1 species
UACGAAGGGGGCUAGCGUUGCUCGGAAUCACUGGGCGUAAAGGGUGCGUAGGCGGGUCUUAAGUCAGGGGUGAAAUCCUGGAGCUCAACUCCAGAACUGCCUUCGAUACUGGGUAUCUUGAGUUCGGAAGAGGUGAGUGGAAUUGCGAGUGUAGAGGUGAAAUUCGUAGAUAUUCGCAGGAACACCAGUGGCGAAGGCGGCUCACUGGUCCGAUACUGACGCUGAGGUGCGAAAGCGUGGGGAG